ACAGAGGGUGCAAACGUUGUUCGGAAUUACUGGGCAUAAAGCGUACGUAGGCGGCGCGUAAAGUGCAUGGUGAAAUCCCACGGCUCACCCGUGGAACUGCUGUGCAUACUGGCGCGCUAGAGGACGGUAGGGGAGUGCGGAACUCUUGGUGGAGCGGUGAAAUGCGUAGAUAUCAAGAGGAACACCGAUGGCGAAGGCAGCACUCUGGUCCGUUUCUGACGCUGAGGUACGAAAGCUAGGGUAGCGAACGGG
rnacentral:rRNA from 1 species